rnacentral:tRNA from 1 species
GCUGAGGUAGCCAAGCUCGGAUCACGGCGCCAGCCUUGAGAGCUGGUGGUACUACGUACCCCGGGAGUUCGAAUCUCCCCCUCAGCG